CCAGUGUUCCUUGUCCUGUCGUCAUUCAUGUUACAUGGUGUUGGUCCCUCGUGGCGACCUCAGCGCACCCUCUGCAACAUGUCACCGGAGCAGCAGAGUCGUUGAUGAAGAGGAGGAAGAAGACUCGUCGGGCUGUGAUGCACACACAAUGAUACGUCUGCAGCUCAGAGCUCAAAGAUCUACACGUUGAUGAGUUCAUACAUCUUCACGCGCAGGAAGCUGAUAACAUAAUGUACCUUCAGUCUCACCUGUCCUCCGCAGCAGAUUGCGUAAUUCUUCUUGGUGCCGUUUGCAUUUCCUGGAACGUAAACAGACUGUGAUUAGAUUUUGCUUGACGGUGAGAAUCUUUCUUUUGCUGUGAUUCAGCAGAUUCACCAGCAGGUGAAAGACGAGAGUGAACUGUCAUAAACCCGAGCAGGAAUAUUGCCCUGGAGGUCGAUUAUUCAUCUGCAGUGACGGUAGUCCUGUGUGUGUACAGCGGGACGUAACACACACUCUGACUUUUUGCUUCAAUCUGAGCGUUUUACAUGAAGACAGAAUGUGGAGUAAAACGAGGGGCAGCUGCCUCCUCGUUUUCUCUUUCUGUCUCCGGGAGGUUUCAUGUGUUUCCUGUGGACCCUUCAUCCUGUGUGACUCCCCCAGAGAGAGGGAGGAAGCUGCAGCUCUUGGCUCGUGUUUAACGGCCACAUUUAAAUCAGAGUGUAAAUCUGUAAAAUCUUAAUCUGUUGGAAGACACUCUGCAAACUGCAAGCGUCCAACAAUCUCUCCGUGCUGCCUUCAAGUGACUCGACCGAGAGAAGUGAGGUUAUUAAACUGAAUAUCUCUUCCACUGCCUUUAUCUACAACAUAGUUAACGUUAUGAAAUCUUAACUCGACACAUGCUGCAGGUUUAAGACUUAUUAUUAAGGCUUGAACCUGCAGGCAAGUAAAGUUAUUUCUAAAUAAUUAAAAACUGAACUAGAACUAGAUGCCACUUCAGGAAAACAGGUUUUGUAUUAUUUGGUUGAACUCACCGUUUGUCUUGUGAGUUAGCAUCGCAUAAUGUUCUUACUCGUGUCUUGUUUCUUAAAAACCAGACCUCUCUGAGCACUGACUGCAGAGCGGAUCAUGUUUUUACAUAUUUCACCUCCAGCUGCUCUUAUUGAAAGUUUCAUCAAAGAAAUGUAACGUGAGAAAAAGAUUCUUCAUCGUUGAUUCGUCUGCAUCAGGUGUCUGUGCUGCAUCUUCCUGAAGAAGGUUUAGUUUCUUCUGUGUAGUAGUAGUAGUGCUCAGGAUCUUCAAACAGUUCUGGAUGUUUUAAAUCUUUUACUUAUUUUCUUCUGCUGUCUGACAUGCAGCUGCAAUAAUCCUGUUUUCUGCAUUAAUAUUACACGACUGUAAUACAUUAUAUUGUAAUAAACAUAUUUAUUGUUAUAUUUUAGUGCACAUUUUGACUUCUCUGUGUUUAUAUAAAUAUGUUUUAUUCUAAAAUGGAGCAACUGUGAGGAAAUUUAAUUUCCUGCUCAGAUAUGUAAAUAAUUAAUCAGCUGCAGAUCAGUUGCACUUCUCUUCAUCGUCGGGGAUGCA